CAGCAAGAUUUUGAGGAGAGAAGAACAAGAAUUUUGCAGUAAGACUUUGGCAGAAGGUCAUGGACAAGGAGGUAAGCAGUGCAAAAGUUGGUGGUGGACUAUGUUAAUGGACACCAACUCAAUCCACAUUUGUGCUCACCUUUCUUAGCAACAUUAUCGCUGAAGGCACUAAGACCUCCAUUGGGUUCAAGAAAGUUCAUCUCAAUGCUUGUGCUAAGGCUCUCAAUGACCAUUUUAAGCUCACGAGGACAGGUGAUCAAGUUGCUAAUCACUUGAAGACAUGGAAGAAGUACACUAGGAUCAAGUAUCUUAAGAAUUUGAGUGUUGCACUUUGGGAUGAAAAUGAAUUCAUUGUUUCUCUAGAUCAUGAGCACUACAAAGAACAUAUGGUGGUAUGAAUUUUACUAUCCCUUUGUAUUUGAUAUUUUAGUGUGUACAUAGUCUAAACACUUCUGAUC